rnacentral:rRNA from 1 species
GACAGAGGCCUCAAGCGUUAGGCGGAAUCACUGGGCUUAAAGCGUGUGUAGGCGGACUUCUAAGUGCCUUGUGAAAUCCCACGGCUCAACCGUGGAACUGCUGGGCAUACUGGGAGUCUUGGGCCAUUCAGGAGCAACUGGAACAAGCGGUGGAGCGGUGAAAUGCGUAGAUAUCGCUUGGAACGCCGAAGGUGAAAACAGGUUGCUGGGGAUGUGCCGACGCUGAGACACGAAAGCCAGGGGAGCAAACGGG